AAAAAAGCGGAGGAAAAGAAACCAACAGGGAUUGCCUUAGUAGCGGCGAGCGAAGCGGCAAGAGCUCAGCUUUGGAAUCGGCGGACGUCGAGUUGUAGAGUGGAGCGCGGCAGCUGGAGCGCCGGACGCGUCCAAGUUUCUUGGAACAGAACAUCGCAGAGGGUGAGAAUCCCGUGGGAUGUGUCCUGGCGGCCCGUGUAGUUGCUGUGCGGCGAGUCGAGUUGUUUGGGAAUGCAGCUCCAAGUGGGUGGUAAACACCAUCUAAGGCUAAAUACCGGCGAGAGACCGAUAGCGAACAAGUACAGUGAUGGAAAGAUGAAAAGCACUUUGAAAAGAGAGUGAAACAGCACGUGAAAUUGUUGAAAGGGAAGGGCUUGCAAUUAGUGCCUCGCAAGAGGACCAGCAUCAGUUACCGGGGGACCACAAGGGCCGGGGAACGUGGCUCGCAUGCGUGCGAGUGUUAUAGCCCCGGGCGAUGGCCGUUUGGUGACUGAGGACCGCGCCGUGAGGCAAGGAUGCUGGACAAACUAAACAAU
rnacentral:rRNA from 1 species